rnacentral:rRNA from 1 species
AUAGGUCAGAGGUGGAAGUGUGGCGACACAUGGAGCUGACUGAUACUAAUCGAUCGAGGACUUAACCAAA